rnacentral:rRNA from 1 species
GAUGAACGCUGGCGGCGUGCCUAAUACAUGCCAGUCGAGCGAACAGACGAGGAGCUUGCUCCUCUGACGUUAGCGGCGGACGGGUGAGUAACACGUGGAUAACCUACCUAUAAGACUGGGAUAACUUCGGGAAACCGGAGCUAAUACCGGAUAAUAUAUUGAACCACAUGGUUCAAUAGUGAAAGACGGUUUUGCUGUCACUUAUAGAUGGAUCCGCGCCGCAUUAGCUAGUUGGUAAGGUAACGGCUUACCAAGGCAACGAUGCGUAGCCGACCUGAGAGGGUGAUCGGCCACACUGGAACUGAGACACGGUCCAGACUCCUACGGGAGGCAGCAGUAGGGAAUCUUCCGCAAUGGGCGAAAGCCUGACGGAGCAACGCCGCGUGAGUGAUGAAGGUCUUCGGAUCGUAAAACUCUGUUAUUAGGGAAGAACAAAUGUGUAAGUAACUAUGCACGUCUUGACGGUACCUAAUCAGAAAGCCACGGCUAACUACGUG